rnacentral:rRNA from 1 species
ACAAUGCGGGACUAUUAGUCUUGCAAUUGGAUUGAGAACAACGUACAACUCUUAUCGAUAAGCCAUUGGAGGGCAAGUCUGGUGCCAGCAGCCGCGGUAAUUCCAGCUCCAAUAGCGUAUAUUAACGUUGUUGCAGUUAAAAAGCUCGUAGUUGAAGUGAGGGAGUGUGUGUUCAUGAGAGCUAGUCUCGAGUGUUCACAACCUCCCCCCUCCAAUCGGUGUAGUGGGGUAUUCAGUUAUUUCACUACUCCUUUGGUCGUUUACUGUGAGAAAAUUAGAGUGUUCAAAGCGGGCGUUUGUUUGAAUAGAUUAGCAUGGAAUAAUGAUUGAAGGCUUUCGUGUUCGAUUUGAUUGGUUUGUUCAUGGAAGCAAGGUUAAAAGGAACAGUUGGGGGUAUUCAUAUU